rnacentral:rRNA from 1 species
UGACCUCAAAUCAGGUAGGRCUACCCGCUGAACUUAA